GACGAAUGCUGGCUGCGUGCUUAACACAUGCAAGUCGAACGGUGAAAGGGAGCUUGCUCCCUGGAUCAGUGGCGAACGGGUGAGUAACACGUGGGCAACCUGCCCCUCACUCUGGGAUAACUCCGGGAAACCGGGGCUAAUACCGGAUACGACCUGGUGCGACAUCGCACCGGGUGGAAAGAACUUCGGUGAGGGAUGGGCCCGCGGCCUAUCAGCUUGUUGGUGGGGUAAGGGCCCACUAAGGCGACGACGGGUAGCCGGCCUGAGAGGGCGGCCAGCCACACUGGGACUGAGAUACGGCCCGGACUCCAACGGGAGGCAGCAGGGGGGAAUAUUGCACAAUGGGCGCAAGCCUGAUGCGGCGGCGCCGCGUGAGGGAUGACGGCCUUCGGGUUGUAAACCUCUUUCGCCAGGGACGAAGCGCAAGUGACGGUACCUGGAGAAGAAGGACCGGCCAACUACGUGCCAGCCGCCGCCGUAAUAC
rnacentral:rRNA from 1 species